rnacentral:misc_RNA from 1 species
GAUGAAGACGCAGCGAACGUGCGAAACGUAAUGUGAAUUGCAGAAUUCAGUGAAUCAUCGAAUCUUUGAACGCAUCUUGCGCUCCUUGGUAUUCCGAGGAGCAUGCCUGUUUGAGUGUCGUGAAUACUCUCAACUUCAACCCUUUUUUCGGAAAGGGAGGAAGGUUGGACUUGGGUGUUUGUUGAAGUGCGAGCUUCGACUCAUCCUAAAUGCAUUAGCGAUCUGCCUCGAUCACACACAAUGUGAUAAUUAAAACUAAAGCAUUGUUUAAUGAUCAAGUCGAGACUGCUUCUAACUGUCGCAAGACAAUAACGUGCAUACAUUUGUGCAUGUCAUUUGACCUCAAAUCAGGUAGGACUACCCGCUGAACUUAAGCAUAUCAAUAAGCGGAGGA